rnacentral:pre_miRNA from 7 species
UCUCCCUUUUGUGUGUGAGCAUUUUGCCAAUGGAUGACUAGGAGCCAGUGUAGGACCCCCGAUAUGGGGACCCCCACUCUAGUCCAGGGACAUGAUACACCCAAGAACACACAAGAAUCC